AUGCUUUCUCACAGUUAUCUGCUGGCUGUCAUCUUCAUUUCUAUUCAGGGAUCCUGUGGACAGAUUGUGAUGACUCAGACUCCGGAUUCUAUCUCUGUGUCCCCAGGACAGACAGCCACCAUCACAUGUACAUCCAGUGCUGGUGUGAGUAGCUACCUUGCCUGGUACCAACAGAAGUCCCAACAACCUCCAAAGCUUCUUAUCUACGGUGCCAGCAAUCGGCAAUCCGGGAUCCCGGAUAGGUUCAGUGGUUCAGGCUCUGGGACUCAAUUCAAGUUAACAAUUACUGGAGUGACUGAAGAUGAUGAAGGACGUUAUUACUGUCAGCAGUAUCAGCAUUACCCUCUCACACAUUGA